AACAAACUUAGAGUCUUGCCAGCAACGGAUGAUCCGGUUUUGCGCCAAGUUACAUUUGCCCAGUGAGCACGCCUGUGGUGACGGUGGCAAGGAAAAACUCCCUCAGACGACAUGAGGAAGAAACCUCGAAAGGAACCAGACUCAAAAGGGAACCCAUCCUCAUUUGGGAGCGAUGCGAUGAGACUCCAGCCAGACACAGGGCAUCAGGAUGGAUCAGGC